GCUCAGGCUCUUAGUAGAGAAAAAGAGAACUCUCGAAGAAUUACAACUGAAAAGAUGCUAUUGCAAAAAGAAGUAGAGAAACUGAAUUUUGAGAACACAUUUCUUCGCCUAAAGCUAAAUAACUUGAAUAAGAAGCUUAUAGACAUAGAAGCUCUCAUGAACAAUAACUUGAUAACUGCAAUUGAAAUGAGCAGUCUUUCUGAGUUCCAUCAGAGUUCCUUUCUACUGUCAGCUAGCAAGAAGAAACGAAUUAGUAAACAGUGCAAAUUGAUGCGUCUUCCAUUUGCAAGGUAAAUAUGGGCUUGAAUUACACUAGUUCAGAGUAUAUAGAUUUUAUAUAACACAAUUAGUGUUUGUGUGUAUUGUACAGUGUUCAGGAUCAUCAACCUGUAGUUAUCUACUAAGGUAGAAAUGAGGUGGUUUGUAGUGUCUCGCUAUAGGUUGUUUCUCUAGGACUUCAAGGAAACUUACGGUCAAUCCCCCAACCAGGUUUAUUUGUAAUGUCUUGCUACUUUACAGUUCUUUUUUUUCUUUUCAUCUAGUUCACUCCUGGCCUUGUAUUGAUUUUUGCUGGAU
rnacentral:sRNA from 1 species